GACAGAGGUGCCGAGCGUUAGGCGGAAUCACUGGGCUUAAAGCGUGUGUAGGCGGCUAUGUAAGUCGGAUGUGAAAGCCCUGGGCUCAACCCAGGAAGUGCACUCGAUACUGCGUAGCUAGAGUACCGGAGAGGUUGGUGGAAUUCUCGGUGUAGAGGUGAAAUGCGCAGAUAUCAGGAGGAACACCGGUGGCGAAGGCGGGUCUCUGGGCAGUAACUGACGCUGAGGAGCGAAAGCGUGGGGAGCGAACAGG
rnacentral:rRNA from 1 species